rnacentral:rRNA from 1 species
GACGAACGCUGGCGGCGUGCUUAACACAUGCAAGUCGAGCGAUGAAGUCUCUUCGGAGAUGGAUUAGCGGCGGACGGGUGAGUAACACGUGGGUAACCUGCCUCAUAGAGGGGAAUAGCCUUUCGAAAGGAAGAUUAAUACCCCAUAAGAUUGUAGUUUCGCAUGAAACAGCAAUUAAAGGAGUAAUCCGCUAUGAGAUGGACCCGCGUCGCAUUAGCUAGUUGGUGAGGUAACGGCUCACCAAGGCGACGAUGCGUAGCCGACCUGAGAGGGUGAUCGGCCACAUUGGGACUGAGACACGGCCCAGACUCCUACGGGAGGCAGCAGUGGGGAAUAUUGCACAAUGGGGGAAACCCUGAUGCAGCAACGCCGCGUGAGUGAUGACGGUCUUCGGAUUGUAAAGCUCUGUCUUCAGGGACGAUAAUGACGGUACCUGAGGAGGAAGCCACGGCUAACUACGUGCCAGCCGCCGCCGUAA